CUGGUUGAUCCUGCCAGUAGUCAUAUGCUUGUCUCAAAGAUUAAGCCAUGCAUGUGUAAGUAUAAGCCCUUGAACGGCGAAACUGCGAAUGGCUCAUUAAAACAGUUAUCGUUUCUUUGAUGACCAAUUGCUACUUGGAUAACUGUAGUAAUUCUAGAGCUAAUACAUGCGGAUGCCUUUCGGGGCUAGCGUUUAUUAGAUACAAAGCCAACAUUUCCUUUUGGAAAUUCUGGUGAUUCAUAAUAACCAAGCGAAUCGGUCUUUUGACCGAUGCAUCUUUCAAGUUUCUGACCUAUCAGCUAUUGACGGUAGGGUAUUGGCCUACCGUGGCGAUGACGGGUGACGGGGGAUCAGGGUUCGAUUCCGGAGAGGGAGCCUGAGAAACGGCUACCACAUCUAAGGAUGGCAGCAGGCGCGCAAAUUACCCAAUCCUGACACAGGGAGGUAGUGACAAGAAAUAACAAUACAGGGCUUUUAGUCUUGUAAUUGGAAUGAGUGGAUGUUAAAUCUAUCCACGAGUAUCAAUUGGAGGGCAAGUCUGGU
rnacentral:rRNA from 1 species